AAGGUAACGUCUGACUUCAUUGCAAUUUGUGAUACAGAAGAAAAAGUAAAUUUCGAUGAUGUUUUUGUAUGACAUUAUCAAAUCACGUCAAAUGUCGACGGUACAUGGUCAGUGGCAGUGGGAAGGCCUACACAAAACCUGACAGUUGAAUCGGGCAGUGAAGCGGAGUUUGCGAGUCAGUGCGCUCCUCGGCGGGCUCGGGCGUGCAGAAGAACUUCAAAUUCAAGAAGCAGCACUUGGCUCCCCACCUGGCCGAAUACAUUUGGCACCGAACAACGACGACACCAAAAGUAAAUUUGUGCGUUUCCUGAAAGAAAUCAGCAAGGUGUACCCUGGACUGGACGCCUGAGAAGGUCUGUGCAAAAACUCAGGAUGGACUCUCUGUCUCUCUCUGAGCAACCAUAGAGAGAGAUGACUAGACUGACCACUCACUGUCUGGUGGCCAUGAGACCACGCAACGGUCAUCGACUUUGAACGAGGGGAGGGGUGAGCUCAAGGAUGGACUGAAGCUGGGACAGAGGAAUGACUGACUGACCUCCACAUUGGCCACUGACAGAAGAGAGGAACAGACAGUGUCAGCGGAGGAGAAGUUACCGUAACAAACAGUUCUCUGGACAUUCCACGGAACAUCAGACAGCAGCGACAUGGUGAAGACUAUAACUUGCUGAAUAUUUACAUUGUAAUCUGAAGCAGUUAUGAAUGAACCUCCGACCACCCGCUCAAACUCUACAGUUUACUACUGCUACUGCAUAAGUUAGCAGAGGGGGAGGGGGGGGCAGCAUUCUCCGACCGCCCACUCAAACUCUACUACUACUAUAAGUCUGCACCCUCCAGCCGCCCAAACUCUACUUGCAUGUGAGCAAAUAUUUAUUUGUACAGUUAUUGUUCAGUUGUGAUGAUGUAGGCUACUUGGAGAUUUCUGUACUGUACAGUAACUGUUAGAAGUACAUGUAAUCCAGUCUGAGGGAGAACCCUGAAGUAAAUAAUUAAAACAACAAACGACACAGUGUCAUGGCCACUUUGGGCCCAAGAAAACCUGCGGGUCUCUCUAGAAGAGAUGAAGUUGUAUUUAAAGUUGCUCCUCCCCAACCCUUUGGUACCUCCUGCAGAAUGAUGAAAAACCCUUCUGUUGUCGGAGGCGAUACAGAUUUCACCAUUAGACACAUACUAACGGAAUGUCCAGAUUUCUGAAGAGCCCGAAGGAAAUAUUUUAAAUGUACUGUUCUCCCUAGUUGAUCCCAACAGGCCAUUGUUGAUCUCAACUGGCCUUUGGCCUUUACACAAUGAUGUAAAUACUGUACACAGACAUCGACUUACGUUUAGAUUAGAUCUACUUCUCUAACAGUUUUUUUUGUAUUUUUACACAAGAGGCAAUAAUUGCCGAACAAAUAACUUGAGUUUUGUCCUAAAGCACAGGUCUGUCAUGCACUAAUGUGAUCAGAACGUCUGUGUCUACGUCCUCCGCGAUAAGAACAGUGCUGAGAAACCACGUGUUUGGUAGGGAAUGUGUGCGGGAACUGUGACAGUGAUGGCUGAUCGUUGACUUGUAUGAACACACUAUAAGAGUCCAGUGUAUGUUUCAUGCCGUAAACAGCACUUCGCUGUGCUGGUGUGAAAUAUACAUAGUAGUAGUAGAGAUGCCUUGGUCAAUAAGUAUGAAAGUGGCCAUAGACUGUAGUGGUUAUUUCAAUGCACGGCGGACUGUGUUUGGUCGAUGAGUGUGAAAAAGGCCUCACAGUUUAGAAAGUUUUCAGCAGGUCAUCACUCGGUGGGGCAGAGCGCUGCAAUCCAACCACGGACUCUUGGUAUUUGUUCAGCAGUUAUUGCCUCUGAUGUAAAUACAAAACAGAUGACUACUGUAAUUAUAUUAUUUAAAAAAAAGAAGAGAUCUGAACACAAAUGUGUAAAUUUGAAAUGUAAUUUUAAUUAACAAGAAUUGGGGACACGGGCAUGAAAUAUAGACUAACUUUGCAAUACAUGACAUAUCCUGUGGAUAAAUGACAGAUCAUUGUACAUGUGCAUGUCAUGUUUCUGUAUAAAAUCACUGUGCUACUGUUUUAAGAAGUAGCAUAAGUUUAAGUGGGAGGUUGGAAGGUGUAGUAGAAGUAAACUUACAGUGGGUGGUUAGAGGGUGUAAUAGUAGUUAGAGA
rnacentral:lncRNA from 1 species